rnacentral:rRNA from 1 species
UACAGAGGUGGCAAGCGUUGUUCGGAAUUACUGGGCGUAAAGGGCGCGUAGGCGGCCUUCUAAGUCAGACGUGAAAUCCCCAGGCUUAACUUGGGAACUGCGUCUGAUACUGCAAAUCUCGAGUCCGGAAGAGGUGAGUGGAAUUCCUAGUGUAGAGGUGAAAUUCGUAGAUAUUCGCAAGAACACCAGUGGCGAAGGCGGCUGACUGGUCCGGUUCUGACGCUGAGGCGCGAAAGCGUGGGGAGCAAACAGG